rnacentral:rRNA from 1 species
AGUGAACGCUGGCGGUAGGCCUAACACAUGCAAGUCGAACGGCAGCACAGUAAGAGCUUGCUCUUACGGGUGGCGAGUGGCGGACGGGUGGGGUAUACAUCGGAAUCUACUUUUUCGUGGGGGAUAACGUAGGGAAACUUACGCUAAUACCGCAUACGACCUACGGGUGAAAGCAGGGGAUCUUCGGACCUUGCGCGGUUGAAUGAGCCGAUGUCGGAUUAGCUAGUUGGCGGGGUAAAGGCCCACCAAGGCGACGAUCCGUAGCUGGUCUGAGAGGAUGAUCAGCCACACUGGAACUGAGACACGGUCCAGACUCCUACGGGAGGCAGCAGUGGGGAAUAUUGGACAAUGGGCGCAAGCCUGAUCCAGCCAUACCGCGUGGGUGAAGAAGGCCUUCGGGUUGUAAAGCCCUUUUGUUGGGAAAGAAAAGCAGCAGGUUAAUACCCCGCUGUUCUGACGGUACCCAAAGAAUAAGCACCGGCUAACUUCGU